UUCAGGGGUAAAAUUUCGAUAGAUCGUACUCGUUUAAACCUUUUACAAUUGUUUGAGCUGCCAACAUAUGACACAAAAUAAAUCAAAGGGUAAAUUUAGGAGUCGAAUCCCUUUUGUGAACUAUAUUUUUGAAGUGCAGUGUCCAUCAGCGCUUCUUCGUGGCCUAUUGGAGAUGGAGUGGCGAUAGAGUGAGAGGAACUCCUCCUAGAUGGCCCCGCGAUAGUCCAUUCAGCUGGUAAUCACAGGCUCUCGAGUUACCAGUCGCCAUUUAAGGUGUGACCGGGCUAGGAUGGAACAUGAAUCGACAUCUACUUCGACUUCGACUCCGACUCCGACUUCAACCGGUAGCCCAGGUCCCUCCAUUGGCCUCAACCUCUACACGUUUACGCAUCACUGCCUCUUCUUCGAGUCGGGCAUUGUGGAAAUUGAUUUCAGAUUUUUAUUGUUUUAGAGCGCUUCAUAUCUCACGUCAUCUCAGCGACUGGACGACGCUUAUUGAUACAGCCAUUGGCCAGUAAUAGAGUUGUUAUUGCACUUUAAUUGAAGUUAUGUUUAAGGCGCCGUCGCCACUCCUCGACACCUGGCAGCAAGUCUGGGUAAUAAAGAGCAUAUAUUUUUAAUUAAC